CACCCAAUGUCAGACUUGGUUUGCUCCUAAUGAUCUCACUAGCAGGAUGCCACAGUCUUCAAAUUUCCCAUGUAGUUAAAAUUCAAUGAAAUCUUGUGUAUAGGUUAAAUUUGAAUAUGUUAUGUUUGGAUUAACAGUCACUUUCCUCAUUAUGCUUCAUAAUAGAAAGUUCCUCAUUUAGCAAAGGCUGUGAAGGGGUGUCAGUCAAUGGUAAAAUGAUAGAGUGGGGGUGGGCAAAGUUUGGUCUGUCGGCCACUUUAAGCUGGCCCGCAAGCUCCUGUUGGAGAGCGAGUCUGCGGUUUGCCCCACUCCGGUGCUCCAGUCCAGCCAUGGGCACCGGAUCAGGGACCACACCAUGUGGAUUAGCCCUGCUCCAACACUCCAGGCGGGGAUCCGGGUUGGGGGCUGCACCACGCAGCUCCUGGAAGCAGCUGCAUGGUCACACUCCGGCACUCUAGCAGGGUCAGGGGCUUCUCCAUGCAUAGGAGAUGGAGAAGGAACAUGCCACUGCAUCCGGGAGCCAUUUGAGAUUCGUUUCAAGCCUGGCUCUGCUGGAAGCUGGAUGGGUUAGUGUGGAUGGGCACAGAGGGGCAGUGACACUCCAGCGCUUGAUGGGAGGAAGAAGGGUAAUCACCUGGAUGAACUGGAGGGGGCAGGGAACACAGGGAGGUGAAUCAGGGUGGAAUAGGACACACUGGAUCUCACCCUGUCUCCUUUCUGAGUCUGUCUCUUUCUGUCUCCUUUUCUUAGAGGUUCCUUUCCCAGCUGCUGCUCUUGGAUUCUGAAUCCAUGCUGGCUGAAGAUAACAUGAGGGAAGGAUCCACUUUUGGACCUUAGUUGCUCCCCUCAGGCCCACCAUUCCUUCCUUCCAGAGCACAUGCUGUCUGGGUAGCUCUUUGGCAUCGGACCCUGGCCAGUCGCAAGUGGGCAUCAUCUGGAGAGUGGUCAUGGAAGGCAAUGCCCUGGGUUGUUUUGGGCUGAAGUUGGAUUGGAUUGGAAUGUUCAGUGGCCUUGGAUGCUAGCUCUGGACGGAGACAAAGGAGCGAGCAUUGAAAUGAGGGGAACAGGCACAGGAGUUACAGACACUCAGCCUGUCAUUUGGAACAACUCAAAACAAAGUGCCCAGUAUAUAUGCACUUGAAACCCUUCAACUCCUUUUGUCUUGUGCUCCAAACUGGAAACUGGGACAAGGGGGUUGUAACUUGUGCAGUCAGUUGAACACAACCACCCACCACCUAUGCCAUUACCUUUCAGUCUGGUCCGAUAGUGCCCCCUUCUUAUGCAGUCCUGCACCUCUGUCAAUACCCCUCAAUCCUCACCUGCUGCCCUACAGCUCUGCCCAUGCUCCUCAAGUCUGACCUUACAGAAAUCCUAAUGCCCCUGUUGUUCUCUUAUCUAUAUGAACGAUGUUUUAGUUUCUGUGUUUAAGGACAAAUUUGGUAAUUAAAAAGAUGGGUAAUUGAUUUGUCUUGUAGAGUUAGAU